rnacentral:rRNA from 1 species
CGAGUCCGAGGAGCUAAGGCUCCAAAGUGGUGCGAGUCAGACUUCCCAGAAAAGCCCGAACCACGUUAAUUUCUAAUUACCUGUACCCGAAACCGACACAGGUGGGUAGGUAGAGUAUACUAAGGGGCGCGAGAUAACUCUCUCUAAGGAACUCGGCAAAAUGACUCCGUAACUUCGGGAGAAGGAGUGCCUUAUUUAUAAGGUUGCAAUAACAAGAUCCAAGCAACUGUUUAUCAAAAACACAGGUCUCCGCUAAGUCGUAAGACGAUGUAUGGGGGCUGACGCCUGCCCAGUGCCAGAAGGUUAAAGAAGUUGGUUAGUGUAUGCGAAGCUGAUGACUGAAGCCCUGGUGAACGGCGGCCGUAACAAUAACGGUCCUAAGGUAGCGAAAUUCCUUGUCGGGUAAGUUCCGACCCGCACGAAAGGCGUAAUGAUUUGGAUACUGUCUCGGAGAGAGGCUCGGUGAAAUAGACUUGUCUGUGAAGAUGCGGACUACCUGCACCAGGACAGAAAGACCCUAUGAAGCUUUACUGUAACUUGAAAUUGGAAUUGGACUUUGCUUGCGCAGUAUAGGUGGGAAGCGUUGAAGAUAUUCUUGCGGGAGUAUUGGAGCUAUCAGUGAGAUACCACUCUUGUAAUGUUAGAUUUCUAACUUUGAACCAUAAUCUGGUCAAAGAACAGUUUCAGGUGGGCAGUUUGACUGGGGCGGUCGCCUCCCAAAUGGUAACGGAGGCGUACAAAGGUUUCCUCUGAACGGAUAGAAAUCGUAUCUAGAGUGUAAAGGCAUAAGGAAGCUUGACUGUGAGACCUACAAGUCGAGCAGGGACGAAAGUCGGUCUUAGUGAUCUGACGGUACUGAGUGGAAAGGCCGUCACUCAACGGAUAAAAGUUACUCUAAGGAUAACAGGCUGAUCUCCCCCAAGAGUUCACAUCGACGGGGAGGUUUGGCACCUCGAUGUCGGCUCAUCGCAUCCUGGGGCGGUAGUACGUCCCAAGGGUUGGGCUGUUCGCCCAUGAAAGCGGUACGCGAGCUGGGUUCAGAACGUCGUGAGACAGUUCGGUCCAUAUCCGGUGUAGGCGUUAGAAUAUUGAGAGGAGCCUUCUUUAGUACGAGAGGACCGAGAAGGACACACCGCUGGUGUACCAGUUAUCGUGCCAACGGUAAACGCUGGGUAGCUAUGUGUGGAGUGGAUAACCGCUGAAAGCAUCUAAGUGGGAAGCCCACCUCAAGAUGAG